GUGGGUUUGGAAAGGCCAUCGAGGGGAUGCUUGGUAGGAUCUGGCCAGAAGAAUGGGGAGAGACAGGGGAAAGACAUGUACCUGAUCCUGGAGAAUGACAUGCUCAGCCUGGUGGACCCCAUGGACCGCAGCGUGCUGCACUCGCAGCCCAUCGUCAGCAUCCGCGUGUGGGGCGUGGGCCGCGACAAUGGCCGGGAUUUUGCUUAUGUAGCAAGAGAUAAAGAUACAAGAAUUUUGAAAUGUCAUGUAUUUCGAUGUGACACACCAGCAAAAGCCAUCGCCACAAGUCUCCACGAGAUCUGCUCCAAGAUUAUGGCUGAACGGAAGAAUGCCAAAGCGCUGGCCUGCAGCUCCUUACAGGAAAGGGCCAAUGUGAACCUCGAUGUCCCUUUGCAAGUAGAUUUUCCAACACCAAAGACUGAACUGGUCCAGAAGUUCCACGUGCAGUACUUGGGCAUGUUACCUGUAGACAAACCAGUCGGAAUGGACAUUUUGAACAGUGCCAUAGAAAAUCUUAUGACCUCAUCCAACAAGGAGGACUGGCUGUCAGUGAACAUGAACGUGGCCGAUGCCAC
rnacentral:sRNA from 1 species